rnacentral:lncRNA from 1 species
GGGAUGGCCAUGAAUUUGGCUAAUGCUGGUCUUCCAAGAAUAGCGUGGUACGAUAUUUUGAAAUCCGCUACCUCGAACCAGAUGUAUUCUGUCCGAUAGUGUUCUUUGAUCCCAAAAGGUUAUUGGCAAAACCACCUGUCCAAGGGGUACAGCUGCGUUGCCGGGGACGAUCCCAUAGAAUAGAGAGUUUGUUGGGGUGAGC